CAAAUUCCACAUUUUAAACUAUUUGAACCAAAGAAAACUCAUCUUCUUCCCCGCCUUCAUCUCCCAUCAUUAGAAUGGUAUCCUCAGCCGCCCACCGCCGCAGCAAUCGGUUGCUGUCAAUACCCACUCCAAAACGCUACUCCUGCAACUUUGCUAGGACUCUAUCUGGCUCUGGUGCGUACAAUCUUUCCCUCCAAACUGAGAUGCAGUGCUCCACCAUGGCCAUUGCGAGAAACUUCAACCCACUAUACCAAAGAGUGCACUUCCAAUUGACUGAAUUCUCUCCUCCUCACGCAUCAAGCGCGACGCCAUUCACAGAGCUGCACUUUGCCCGUUGUUUAGAUCUGAAAGCAGCACCCAUUUCCGCGCUUCAUGCUUACCUCCAUUAACGGUAACAAAACGUGGAGUUCAUUGAUUAUAAGUUGCGGAGGAUCGGUGCCCCAAUUAUGACUAGGUGCCCCCAACGAUGUCAAUUUUGCUGCUUCAUGUGCUAGAACAUUUUUUUUCUGGGAAUCCAGAACCAGCGAGAAGUCUUCCCCUAUGAUCCCUAAUGGCUACAGCAAUUGCUCUUCAUGCUGUGUGUUCUUUAAACGCUACAUCCACAUUGGCUUUGAUCUAAUUUGUAGGAGAUGGUCUCCAGAUAGGGUGCUGGGCCAAAAUGGCAAAAUCACGCCUCGUCCCAACAAAGGGGCCAUGUACCAAAAUCAGGAUCAUAUCCCACUGAAAUAAAAGGGGAUCGGCAGGAAAUCUUUCUUUUUCUCUAACAACACAAGGCUAUAAAUAAUGGAGGCAGAGGAUUCUUAAGAGGUAUCUUCUCUACUCCUAGUCCAAGUAUCUUUUGGACUUUGUACUUGAUCAAUGGAGUUCUUGAAGGUCAUCCCCAAUUUAGUUCAAAGACGACGAUGAAUUGGUGAUUCUACAACUCAUUCAUAUAUAAUACAAGUGUCGUAUAGACUAUUAUUCGUGUUGAUACAACAAACAGUCAAUUUUUAAAUUUAUUUAUAUGUUUUUAAUUAGUUGAUUUGUGUAAUAUGUUUCUCAUCAUUAUUGCAAUUAUUCUAAACACUUAUGUAUCUUUUCGUUCCCAAUUUUUCUUCAAAUUUUGAGUAUUUUAAAUUUAUGUAAAAGAAAUUUCAAUGUUGCUAGAGAAG